UUGCUCCCAACGAUAAAUAAAUUCAAUUGAAUUUUAACAAUACAAAGAACAUUGGCAUAGCUCCUACACAAAGGUGAGAUGCAAAUUUGUGAAGCCUUCCACAAUUAA